UGGCCUGUUCAGGAAGACCAUCUAAUUUUACCAAAAAGGAUCAAUGAGAUGACAGGGGAACCAGCGAUCGAAGCCCCGGUGAACGGCGGCCGUAACUAUAACGGUCCUAAGGUAGCGAAAUUCCUUGUCGGGUAAGUUCCGACCCGUACGAAA
rnacentral:ncRNA from 1 species